rnacentral:rRNA from 1 species
AACGAACGCUGGCGGCAGGCCUAACACAUGCAAGUCGAGCGCCCCGCAAGGGUAGCGGCGGACGGGUGAGUAACGCGUGGGAACGUACCCUUUGCUACGGAAUAGCCUCGGGAAACUGGGAGUAAUACCGUAUGUGUCCUUCGGGAGAAAGGUUUGUCGGCAAGGGAUCGGCCCGCGUUGGAUUAGGUAGUUGGUGGGGUAAUGGCCUACCAAGCCGACUAUCCAUAGCUGGUUUGAGAGGAUGAUCAGCCACACUGGGACUGAGACACGGCCCAGACUCCUACGGGAGGCAGCAGUGGGGAAUCUUAGACAAUGGGCGCAAGCCUGAUCUAGCCAUGCCGCGUGAGCGAUGAAGGCCUUAGGGUUGUAAAGCUCUUUCAGGGGGGAAGAUAAUGACUGUACCCCCAGAAGAAGCCCCGGCUAACUCCGUG